rnacentral:misc_RNA from 1 species
AGCAAGUUGGAAAACUUGGGACAGGUAAUUCCAUUUUCUCUUUGUAAAUUAGAGAUGUAAUCUUUCACAAUAUUUAGAGAAAAGGUGUAAGGUCUAGGUAUGGCUGUUUUGUUUAAUAGUUAUGUAGUGGCUGAAAGUGAAAACAAUAGUGUCAUUUCUGCCAGUAAUAUAGUUAGGGUUUUUAGGCUUGUUUUGGAGGCUAUUUGAUGGCAGUAAACGAGGGAUUGUAACUCUCAAAUGAAAUAUGUACCAUGUAGAAAUGUAGUGAUUGGGGUGUGAUUUGGGAGUACAAGAAAAUUAGCUAAGGGAUUCAUUACCCGUAUCAUGUCCUAAUAGGAUUUGAGAAAUUGAUAAGCUAACUUCGAUUUAAAGAAAAUAAACUUAAAAAACUGAUAGAUUGCUGAAAUACUUUUACAUUGCUUUACUUACAGAAAAUGUAGUUCAGCUCUAUGAAAACAUGCAUAACUCAUAAAAUAAGACUUGAAAAUAAAUACUGCUGAAAUACCUUUAAUGCGCACACACACACACACACAUGCAUGGUGGGUGCACGUGUUUCUGCGCUUAGUGUUUACAUACAUGUAGAAAGGGGAAAGAGAAGGAAAAACUUUGUAUCCAUGAAUGCGCAACAGCAAACUUUAGGCAUAUCUUAUUUUAGAGGUACUUUGCAUUUGGGGAUUACUGCCAAAUUAGAAGGGUAAUGGACUCUACUUGUUACCGAAUUAGAUGCUUGAUGGCCAUGAGAAUA